UACGUAGGGUGCAAGCGUUGUCCGGAAUCAUUGGGCGUAAAGCGCGCACAGGUGGUUUCUUAAGUCUGAUGUGAAAGCCCACGGCUCAACCGUGGAGGGUCAUUGGAAACUGGGAGACUUGAGUGCAGAAGAGGAAAGUGGAAUUCCUGGUGUAGCGGUGGAAUGCGCAGAUAUCAGGAGGAACACCAAUAGCGAAGGCAGCUCGCUAGGGAC
rnacentral:rRNA from 1 species